rnacentral:rRNA from 1 species
CAGUCGCCACGGUAAUACGUAGGUGGCAAGCGUUGUCCGGAAUUAUUGGGCGUAAAGCGCGCGCAGGUGGUUAAAUAAGUCUGAUGUGAAAGCCCACGGCUCAACCGUGGAGGGUCAUUGGAAACUGUUAAACUUGAGUGCAGGAGAGAAAAGUGGAAUUCCUAGUGUAGCGGUGAAAUGCGUAGAGAUUAGGAGGAACACCAGUGGCGAAGGCGGCUUUUUGGCCUGUAACUGACACUGAGGCGCGAAAGCGUGGGGAGCAAACAGGAUUAGAGACCCCCGUAGUCCCUGUCUCUUAUAC